GCACUCAACUUUAACCUUAGAUCCUGUUCGUCAUACCACAAUUAUUGUUAAUCCUACCGUAAACUAGCAGCAAAAAAAGAGGCAGAUUUAAGAUUUAAACUUGAUAUGACUUCAAUUUUAAAAAUUGAUAUAGACGCAAUUUAUUCCCCAAAAUUUAUGUUCGGCGUCAAAAGUAGUAGAUUCAUAUGAACACAAUAUCAGAAGGCUAAAUCCGACUCAGGCAACAAAAAAACAGUUCACAGUACGACGUGAAACAAUCCAAUUUGAUGAUAAACUACAUCACUGUAUUACUAAAUCAGACAAGAAAUGAACAUUUCCUCACUUAAACACUAAACAAUACGAUCUAGUAAAUCUAUAGAGUAGAUCUGCAAAUGGGUAGUCAAGAAAUGGCAGAAAUGAGAACAGAUCUUGAAAUAUGAACAGUAGAAAAUGCAGAAUGAGGGUUUUUUUUAGAGUUUACCAGCAAGAUACUUAGUAGCAGGG
rnacentral:misc_RNA from 1 species